UACGACCACAUCACAUUGAAACACCAGUUUCUAUAUGAUCAUCAAAGUUAAGCAAUGUUGAGCAUGAUCAUUACCUAGAUGGGUGACUUCUUGGGAAUACUAUGUGCUGUAA